GGGGCAGUUGGUAGCUCAGUGGUGUGCAUGCUUUGUGUGUGACGUCCUGGGUUCAAAUCCCAGCUGCUCCC